rnacentral:rRNA from 1 species
UAGAGUUUGAUCCUGGCUCAGGACGAACGCUGGCGGCGUGCCUAAUACAUGCAAGUAGAACGCUGAAGAGAGGAGCUUGCUCUUCUUGGAUGAGUUGCGAACGGGUGAGUAACGCGUAGGUAACCUGCCUUGUAGCGGGGGAUAACUAUUGGAAACGAUAGCUAAUACCGCAUAACAAUGGAUGACACAUGUCAUUUAUUUGAAAGGGGCAAUUGCUCCACUACAAGAUGGACCUGCGUUGUAUUAGCUAGUAGGUGAGGUAAUGGCUCACCUAGGCGACGAUACAUAGCCGACCUGAGAGGGUGAUCGGCCACACUGGGACUGAGACACGGCCCAGACUCCUACGGGAGGCAGCAGUAGGGAAUCUUCGGCAAUGGGGGCAACCCUGACCGAGCAACGCCGCGUGAGUGAAGAAGGUUUUCGGAUCGUAAAGCUCUGUUGUAAGUCAAGAACGGGUGUGAGAGUGGAAAGUUCACACUGUGACGGUAGCUUACCAGAAAGGGACGGCUAACUACGUGCCAGCAGCCGCGGUAAUACGUAGGUCCCGAGCGUUGUCCGGAUUUAUUGGGCGUAAAGCGAGCGCAGGCGGUUUGAUAAGUCUGAAGUUAAAGGCUGUGGCUCAACCAUAGUUCGCUUUGGAAACUGUCAAACUUGAGUGCAGAAGGGGAGAGUGGAAUUCCAUGUGUAGCGGUGAAAUGCGUAGAUAUAUGGAGGAACACCCGGUGGCGAAAGCGGCUCUCUGGUCUGUAANCUACGCUA